UACGUAGGAGGCGAGCGUUGUCCGGAAUUACUGGGCGUAAAGAGCGCGUAGGCGGCCUGUUGCGUCCGCUGUGAAAGCCCGGGGCUUAACCCCGGGUCUGCAGUGGAUACGGGCAGGCUAGAGGUAGGUAGGGGAGAAUGGAAUUCCCGGUGUAGCGGUGAAAUGCGCAGAUAUCGGGAGGAACACCGGUGGCGAAGGCGGUUCUCUGGGCCUUACCUGACGCUGAGGAGCGAAAGCGUGGGGAGCAAACAGG
rnacentral:rRNA from 1 species